GGAAGUAAAAGUCGUAACAAGGUCUCCGUUGGUGAACCAGCGGAGGGAUCAUUACCGAGUUUACAACUCCCCAACCCUUCUGUGAACAUACCUACCGUUGCUUCGGCGGACUCGCCCCGGCGUCCGGACGGCCUCGCGCCGCCCGCGGCCCGGGCCCAGGCGGCCGCCGGAGACCCCCCAACUCUGUUUCCUUCAGCAUCUUCUGAAUCUGCCGCGAGGCAAAACAAACGAAUCAAAACUUUCAACAACGGAUCUCUUGGUUCUGGCAUCGAUGAAGAACGCAGCGAAAUGCGAUAAGUAAUGUGAAUUGCAGAAUUCCGUGAACCAUCGAAUCUUUGAACGCACAUUGCGCCCGCCAGCAUUCUGGCGGGCAUGCCUGUUCGAGCGUCAUUACAACCCUCGACCCCCCCCGGGGCGGUCGGCGUUGGGGCACGGCAGCACACCGCCGGCCCUGAAAUGGAGUGGCGGCCCGUCCGCGGCGACCUCUGCGUAGUAAUCCAGCUCGCACCGGGAACCCGACGCGGCCACGCCGUAAAACACCCAACUUUCUGAACGUUGACCUCGGAUCAGGUAGGACUACCCGCUGAACUUAAGCAUAUCAAUAAGCGGAGGA
rnacentral:rRNA from 1 species